AAUUCGAUGCAACGCGAAAAACCUUACCUGGCCUUGACAUGUACCGAAUUUACCAGAGAUGGUUUAGUGCUCGAAAGAGAACGGUAACACAGGUGCUGCAUGGCUGUCGUCAGCUCGUGUCGUGAGAUGUUGGGUUAAGUCCGCAACGAGCGCAACCCUUGCCAAUAAUUGCCAUCAUUUAGUUGGGCACUUUAUUGGGACUGCCGGUGACAAACCGGAGGAAGGUGGGGAUGACGUCAAGUCCUCAUGGCCCUUAUGGCCAGGGCUUCACACGUAAUACAAUGGUCGGUACAGAGGGUCGCCAAGCCGCAAGGUGGAGCCAAUCCCAGAAAGCCGAUCGUAGUCCGGAUUGAGGUCUGCAACUCGACCUCAUGAAGUCGGAAUCGCUAGUAAUCGCGGAUCAGCAUGUCGCGGUGAAUACGUUCCCGGGCCUU
rnacentral:rRNA from 1 species